rnacentral:rRNA from 1 species
AAUCAACGCUGGCGGCGUGCCUCAGACAUGCAAGUCGAACGAUUAAAGCUCUCUUCGGAGAGUGUAUAGAGUGGCGCACGGGUGAGUAACACGUAAGUAAUCUACCCUCGAGUGGGGAAUAACGUUCGGAACGAACGCUAAUACCGCAUAAUGCAGCGGCACCGCAAGGUGACAGUUGUUAAAGGAGCAAUUCGCUUGAGGAGGAGCUUGCGGCAGAUUAGCUUGUUGGUAAGGUAACGGCUUACCAAGGCUACGAUCUGUAUCCGGUCUUAGAGGACGGUCGGACACACUGACACUGAAUAACGGGUC